rnacentral:rRNA from 1 species
GUGGGGAAUAUUGGGCAAUGGGCGCAAGCCUGACCCAGCCACGCCGCGUGAGUGAUGAAGGCCUUCGGGUCGUAAAGCUCUGUGGGGAGGGGCGAAACAGCCUCGGGAACAAUACCCCGGGGCCCUGACGGUACCUCCUUAGCAAGCACCGGCUAACUCCGUGCCAGCAGCCGCGGUAAUACGGAGGGUGCAAACGUUGCUCGGAAUUACUGGGCGUAAAGCGCGCGUAGGUGGCUUGUUGUGUCCGGUGUGAAAGCCCUCGGCUCAACCGGGGAAGUGCAUCGGAAACUGACAGGCUUGAGUACGGAAGAGGGUCGCGGAAUUCCCGGUGUAGAGGUGAAAUUCGUAGAUAUCGGGAGGAACACCAGUGGCGAAGGCGGCGACCUGGGCCGAUACUGACGCUGAGGCGCGAAAGCGUGGGGAGCAAACAGGAUUAGAAACCCGUGUAGUCC